rnacentral:rRNA from 1 species
UACGGGGGGGGCAAGCGUUGUUCGGAAUUACUGGGCGUAAAGGGCUCGUAGGCGGCCAACUAAGUCAGACGUGAAAUCCCUCGGCUUAACCGGGGAACUGCGUCUGAUACUGGAUGGCUUGAGAUUGGGAGAGGGAUGCGGAAUUCCAGGUGUAGCGGUGAAAUGCGUAGAUAUCUGGAGGAACACCAAUGGCGAAGGCAGCUCACUACACAAUCAUUGACGCUGAGGCACGAAAGCGUGGGGAUCAAACAGG